rnacentral:rRNA from 1 species
AUUGAACGCUGGCGGCAGGCCUAACACGUGCCAGUCGAGCGGAUGAAGGGAGCUUGCUCCUGGAUUCAGCGGCGGACGGGUGAGUAAUGCCUAGGAAUCUGCCUGGUAGUGGGGGAUAACGUCCGGAAACGGGCGCUAAUACCGCAUACGUCCUGAGGGAGAAAGUGGGGGAUCUUCGGACCUCACGCUAUCAGAUGAGCCUAGGUCGGAUUAGCUAGUUGGUGGGGUAAAGGCCUACCAAGGCGACGAUCCGUAACUGGUCUGAGAGGAUGAUCAGUCACACUGGAACUGAGACACGGUCCAGACUCCUACGGGAGGCAGCAGUGGGGAAUAUUGGACAAUGGGCGAAAGCCUGAUCCAGCCAUGCCGCGUGUGUGAAGAAGGUCUUCGGAUUGUAAAGCACUUUAAGUUGGGAGGAAGGGCAGUAAGUUAAUACCUUGCUGUUUUGACGUUACCAACAGAAUAAGCACCGGCUAACUUCG